rnacentral:rRNA from 1 species
AGCGAACGCUGGCGGCAGGCCUAAUACAUGCAAGUCGAGCGGGUCCUUCGGGAUUAGCGGCGGACGGGUGAGUAACGCGUGGGAACGUGCCCUUUGGUACGGGAACAACUGAGGGAAACUUCAGCUAAUACCGUAUGUGCCCUUCGGGGAAAGAUUUAUCGCCAUUGGAGCGGCCCGCGUUGGAUUAGGUAGUUGGUGAGGUAAAGGCUCACCAAGCCUACGAUCCAUAGCUGGUCUGAGAGGAUGACCAGCCACACUGGGACUGAGACACGGCCCAGACUCCUACGGGAGGCAGCAGUAGGGAAUCUUGCGCAAUGGGCGAAAGCCUGACGCAGCCAUGCCGCGUGAAUGAUGAAGGUCUUAGGAUUGUAAAAUUCUUUCACCGGGGACGAUAAUGACGGUACCCGGAGAAGAAGCCCGGCUAACUUCGUGCCAGCAGCCGCGGUAAU